AGGGAACCUGUAGUAUGGUAUAAGGAAUGCAAGACAAAAGCAUGGAGACAAUCUAUUGUCCAAAAGCAAGACACACUCCUGAUCCGUGAAGUUAGAGAAGAUGAUAUUGGAAAUUACACAUGUGAACUGAAGUUUGGGGAAUUUGUGAUAAGAAGGACGACAGAAUUAACGGUUACAGCUCCAAUGACAGACAAACCACCCAAGGUACUCUAUCCUUUAGAAAACAGA